AAAGUGCUAAAAAAAAGUUUUUAUUCACAUUUUGACCAGGAAGGACAACAAGUCUAUGGCCGCAGGAAGACAACACAAG